ACGGAGAGCCAACUGAACUGAACUGUCCGAUCACCAAAGUCAAGCAAUGUUGGGCCUAGUUAGUACUUAGAUGGUUGACUGCUUGGGAAACCUAGGUGCUGUAAGCA
rnacentral:rRNA from 1 species